rnacentral:lncRNA from 1 species
CUUAAAAUACAAUCUAAGAAUAAAGCAGUACAGUUAUAUAUAAUUACACACACAGUCUAGUAGCCCUGUAGCUCCUCUGAUAUGAUAUCUUACUAGCAGAGGUAGGUCUAGAAGAAUCACAAACAAAAUGACUUUGUCUAUUCUUCAGUGGAAUGCUAGGAGUUUAAUUGCAAAUGGUCAGGAACUUAAGCAUUUUAUUGAGGAAAUAGAUGUCAAACCCAAUAUCAUCUGUAUACAAGAAACAUGGUUAAAACCAUCACUUGAGUUCAUUAUACAUGGAUACACAGCAGUGCGCAAAGAUAGGGAUACUACAGGAGGUGGAGUGGCUACGUUUAUUCAACAAGGGAUUAAUUAUAGAAAUAUAACUUUGAAUAUAGAUGUAGAGGUAGUCCUGGUUGAUAUAUGGGUAGAUAAAACUAAAAUCAUCAACUUUUAUAAUCCUUGUAAAAGAAUUUUGAGAGACACGCUAGACAGUUUGUAUGAGGGGGGAAAUGGAAAGGUAAUAUUAUGUGGAGAUUUUAAUGCUCACAACACUCUGUGGGGAGGAAUUAAAGUGGAUGAGAAUGGGAGUACUAUUGAGGAAUUUAUGGAUGACAAUAAGUUGGUUUGUUUAAAUGAUGGAAGAGGCACCAGGUUUGAUGCGUAUCAUGGAACAGAGUCUGUAUUAGAUCUUAUGAUAGUAUCUGAUCAGAUAGCAGGGGUAAGUCAGUGGGAGGUUAACGGAAAUUCUCUUGGUAGUGACCAUUAUAUCAUCUGGGUUAGUGUUAGGAAUCAAAAUAUGUGUUUAGAGGAUAAUUGGUUUCCAAGAUGGAAAAUGAGAGAGGCAAACUGGGGGUUAUAUAACUUUAAGGUGAGUGGUAAGCUGAUGGAAAUAAUAUCAGAUAGGAGUAGUGAUGUUGAUGAAUUAAACUCAAAAAUUACCAAUAUAUUGUGUGAGGCAGCAGAGGAGGUUAUUGGUAAAUCUUCUGGCAUGAGGAAAAGGAAAAUGGUACCUUGGUGGUCAGAUGACUGCAAGGAAGCGGUUAAAUCCAGAAAUAAAGCCUUCCGAAAUAUUAAAUCAAAUCAUUCAUAUACCAAUUUAAUAGAUUUUAAAAGAGCACAGUCUAAGGUAAAACGAGUUGUGAGAGAGGCUAAAAGGAAGUAUUGGCGUGAAUUUUGUGGUAAGAUAGGGGCAGAAGUUAAAGUGGGUGAGGUUUGGAACAUGAUUAAAAAGAUGGGAGGCAUUAGAAGGGAAUUCUCUAUACCUGUGAUUAAAGAUAAUGAUGAAGAGGC